AAUGAAGUGUCUGACAAAAGAAUUAUUUUGAUAGAAUAAAAAAUGUGAUUUUCUUCACCUUCAUUA
rnacentral:tRNA from 1 species